AUCAACUUUCGAUGGUAGGAUAGAGGCCUACCAUGGUGGUAACGGGUAACGGGUGUUAGGGCACGACACCGGAGAGGGAGCCUGAGAAACGGCUACCACAUCCAAGGAUGGCAGCAGGCGCGCAAAUUACCCAAUCCCGACACGGGGAGGUAGUGACAAUAAAUAACAAUACGGGGUUCUUUCGGAUCUCGUAAUUGGAAUGAGUACAAUUUAAAUCUCUUAACGAGGAACAAUUGGAGGGUAAGUCUGGUGCCAGCAGCCGCGGUAAUUCCAGCUCCAAUAGCGUAUAUUAAAGUUGUUGCAGUUAAAAAGCUCGUAGUUGAAUUUCGGGGUUAGUAGGUUGGUCAUGCCUCUGGUAUGUACUGGUCUCACUGAUUCCUCCUUCCUGAUGAACCGUAAUGCCAUUAAUUUGGUGUUGCGGGGAGUUUGGACUGUUACUUUGAAAAAAUUAGAGUGUUUAAAGCAAGCUAACGCUUGAAUACAUUAGCAUGGAAUAAUGAAAUAGGACGUUCGAUCCUAUUUUGUUGGUUUCUAGGAUUGACGUAAUGAUUAAUAGGGAUAGUUGGGGGCAUUAGUAUUCAAUUGUCAGAGGUGAAAUUCUUGGAUUUAUUGAAGACUAACUACUGCGAAAGCAUUUGCCAGGAUGUUUUCAUUAAUCAAGAACGAAAGUUAGGGGAUCGAAGACGAUCAGAUACCGUCGUAGUCUUAACCAUAAACUAUGCCGACUGGGAAUCAGACAAAGUUCAUUUUUUAACGACUUGUUUG
rnacentral:rRNA from 1 species